rfam:Schistosoma haematobium scaffold192_10, whole genome shotgun sequence.
GUCAGCUGACGAGUCCAUAACAGGACGAAACGCGCGUCCUGGAU